UGGGAAACAGGUUAAUAUUCCUGUACUUGGUGUUACUGCGAAGGGGGGACGGAGAAGGCUAUGUUGGCCGGGCGACGGUUGUCCCGGUUUAAGCGUGUAGGCUGGUUUUCCAGGCAAAUCCGGAAAACUAAGGCUGAGGCGUGAUGACGAGGCACUACGGUGCUGAAGCAACAAAUGCCCUGCUUCCAGGAAAAGCCUCUAAGCAUCAGGUAACCAUCAAAUCGUACCCCAAACCGACACAGGUGGUCAGGUAGAGAAUACCAAGGCGCUUGAGAGAACUCGGGUGAAGGAACUAGGCAAAAUGGUGCCGUAACUUCGGGAGAAGGCACGCUGAUAUGUAG
rnacentral:rRNA from 1 species